rnacentral:rRNA from 1 species
AUUGAACGCUGGCGGCAGGCUUAACACAUGCAAGUCGAGCGAGCGGCGGACGGGUGAGUAAUGUCUGGGAAACUGCCUGAUGGAGGGGGAUAACUACUGGAAACGGUAGCUAAUAACGCAUACCAUCAGAUGUGCCCAGAUGGGAUUAGCUAGUCGGUGGGGUAAUGGAGUACAUGGGCGACGAUCCCUAGCUGGUCGGAGAGGAUGACCAGCCACACGGGAACUGAGACACGGUCCAGACUCCUACGGGAGGCAGCAGUGGGGAUGAUUGCACAAUUGGCGCAAGCCUGAUUCUGCCAUGCCGGGUGUAUGAAGAAGGCCUUCGGGUUGUAGAGUACUUUCAGUCGGGAGGCGUUACCGACAGAAGAAGCACCGGCUAACUCCGUGCCAGCCGCCGCGGUAAUUC